GGAGAAGGGGAUGACAGAGGAUGAGAGGGUUGGAUGGCAUCACCGACUCAAUGGACGUAAAUACCUAGGCACAGAUUGGCUGGAUCACGUGGUAGGUGUUAUGCUUGGGGCUGGAGCUACAAUUCUGAAGUCCUAUGGAGCUGAUGAAGCUUACACACAUAUCAGAUUGUCUUAUCCACUGACAGUAUACACGAAUGUGAUCAGCAUUGGGAUGAGAGAGGAGCUACAGUACAAUAGGAUCACCUUGUUGGGACACCCAGUGGAGACUUCUUAAGAAGGGAAGAAACCUUACCCGAAAUCUGAA